rnacentral:rRNA from 1 species
UACGGGAGGCAGCAGUGGGGAAUAUUGCACAAUGGGCGAAAGCCUGAUGCAGCUAUGCCGCGUGUAUGAAGAAGGCCUUAGGGUUGUAAAGUACUUUCAUCGGGGAGGAAAAAACAAAAACUAAUAAUUUUAUUUUCUUGACGUUACCCGAAAAAGAAGCACCGGCUAACUCCGUGCCAGCAGCCGCGGUAAUACGGAGGGUGCUAGCGUUAAUCAGAAUUACUGGGCGUAAAGGGCACGUAGGUGGUUUUUUAAAGUUCAGAUGUGAAAUCCCUGGGCUUAACCUAGGAACUGCAUUUUGAAACUGAAAUACUAGAGUAUCGUAGAGGGAGGUAGAAUUCUAGGUGUAGCGGUGAAAUGCGUAGAUAUCUGGAGGAAUACCUGUGGCGAAAGCGGCCUCCUAAACGAAUACUGACACUGAGGGUGCGAAAGCGUGGGGAGCAAACAGGGAUUAGAUACC